AUCCACACCAACCAUAUACAUGCAGCACCAGAAAGCAAGAGACAGCACUUUCUGCAUUGCCUGUUGUAAAUAGAGAAAAUACUAUCCCAGAUGCGCAACUCCAUAAAUAACGACAAAUGUUGGAGCAGCUAUCUCUUGUUUUAUACAGUAUGCAAAUGAAUGAGGUGGUUACUUGUGAAUGCUACUGGCUACAUGUAAACCCACUACAACCUGUUACAUGGGAAAACUGUUGGAGACUAAAAAGGUAACCCUCACCAAAAUUCUACUGACCCUACAUGGCAAGGAGGUUAAUUUUUGACACUGCAGAAUGAAAUACAAACUCUGCUAAAUGGUGGAAGAAUUUAGGACAAUCACCAUCCAAUUGAAUUAUGCAAAUGCAUAUAUAUCAGUAUUUGCAUAAUUAUGCAAAUGUACAGGGAACAAGGUUACUCUUGAGAACUUCAGUGUUUGUAGACAAUGGCUAAAUUUGUUAUUUUUUAUUUCUCACUAGUUUAAUAUUUUCAGACAUUUAGAAAAAGAUACCCAUGUUGCAGAAGCAUUUGUCACUAUAAAAUUUGGUGUAGGGGGAUUUUUUUCUGUUUAUGUGGCUUUUCUCUUUUUUGUAAGCAAAAGUCAAGGUUCAAACUUUUUGAAACCAUAAACAGAUAGUGUGACUUUUGUUAUAAUGGUUGUAGUAUCGUGUACAUCUACAACAAUGAAAUACCACCACCUGUGAAUUUUUAGCAUUCUUGAGGGCCCACUGAAGACAUAUAACAGAACAGGAACAGUCAUAAUCCUUUGUUUCCCCACAUAGCAGAAUCCACUUUUGAAAUGCAGCCACUGUAUAAAAGGUAGAGUCCUGAUCUUGCUAUAGUGGUGUAUAUGUUCAAUCACUGUGAGGGGCCCAUUACAGGAAAGCACAGCAUCUUAAGAGAAAAGAAGAGGGAAGCACAAAGAGUUAUUAUACUUGGUUAAAAUGUUGGGUAGAAUACCUUGCUGUAUUUGGUCUAACUCUGCAUUAUGGGUUCAAAUCAUGUCAAAGUUAGCUUUGUCCUUCAUCUGCCUUUUAGCGUCAAUAA